UACGUAGGUGGCAAGCGUUGUCCGGAUUUACUGGGCGUAAAGAGCGCGCAGGCGGUCGUUCAAGUCGCGUGUGAAAGCCCCCGGCUCAACUGGGGAGGGUCACGCGAUACUGAUCGACUCGAAGGCAGGAGAGGGUAGUGGAAUUCCCGGUGUAGCGGUGAAAUGCGUAGAUAUCUGGAGGAACACCGGUGGCGAAGGCGGCUUCCUGGCCUGCAACUGACGCUGAGACGCGAAAGCGUGGGGAGCGAACCGG
rnacentral:rRNA from 1 species